rnacentral:rRNA from 1 species
GACGAACGCUGGCGGCGUGCUUAACACAUGCAAGUCGAACGAUGAAACCUAGCUUGCUAGGUCGAUUAGUGGCGAACGGGUGAGUAACACGUGACUAACCUGCCCCUUUCUCUGGGAUAACGCUCCGAAAGGAGUGCUAAUACCGGAUACUCACAUCGAGGCACAUGCCUUGGUGUGGAAAGUUUUUCGGAAAGGGAUGGAGUCGCGGCCUAUCAGCUUGUUGGUGAGGUAACGGCUCACCAAGGCGACGACGGGUAGCCGGCCUGAGAGGGCGACCGGCCACACUGGGACUGAGACACGGCCCAGACUCCUACGGGAGGCAGCAGUGGGGAAUAUUGCACAAUGGGCGCAAGCCUGAUGCAGCGACGCCGCGUGAGGGAUGAAGGUCUUCGGAUUGUAAACCUCUUUCAGUAGGGACGAAGCGAAAGUGACGGUACCUAAAGAAGAAGCACCGGCUAACUACGUGCCAGCCGCCGCAGUAA